rnacentral:rRNA from 1 species
CGAGCUUCGGGUCGGGGAGACCGGCGAACGGGUGAGUAACACGUGAGGAACCUGCCCUGUAGGCCGGAAUAACCACGGGAAACUGUGGCUAAUGCCGGAUGGUCUCGGAUGACCGCAUGGACGUCCGAGGAAAUGGUCUGCCGCUACAGGAUGGCCUCGCGGCCUAUCAGCUAGUUGGUGAGGUAACGGCUCACCAAGGCGACGACGGGUAGCUGGCGUGAGAGCGCGAUCAGCCACACUGGGACCGAGACACGGCCCAGACUCCUACGGGAGGCAGCAGUGGGGAAUCCUGCGCAAUGGGCGAAAGCCUGACGCAGCGACGCCGCGUGAGGGAUGACGGCCUUCGGGUUGUAAACCUCUUUCAGCUCCGACGAAGCGGAAGUGACGGUAGGAGCAGAAGAAGCACCGGCCAACUACGUGCCAGCAGCCGCGGUAAUACGUAGGGUGCAAGCGUUGUCCGGAAUUAUUGGGCGUAAAGAGCUCGUAGGCGGUCUGUCGCGUCGGCUGUGAAAACUCGGGGCUCAACUCCGAGCUUGCAGUCGAUACGGGCAGGCUAGAGUUCGGCAGGGGAGACUGGAAUUCCUGGUGUAGCGGUGAAAUGCGCAGAUAUCAGGAGGAACACCGGUGGCGAGGGCGGGUCUCUGGGCCGAUACUGACGCUGAGGAGCGAAAGCGUGGGGAGCGAACAGGAUUAGAUACCCUGGUAGUCCACGCCGUAAACGUUGGGCGCUAGGUGUGGGAUCCCUUCCACGGGUUCCGUGCCGCAGCUAACGCAUUAAGCGCCCCGCCUGGGGAGUACGGCCGCAAGGCUAAAACUCAAAGGAAUUGACGGGGGCCCGCACAAGCGGCGGAGCAUGUGGAUUAAUUCGAUGCAACGCGAAGAACCUUACCUGGGUUUGACAUACACCGGAAA